UUCUUACUGAAUGAUAAUUGUCAUGUGUCAUGUUUUGAUUGGAUGUCGAAUCCACGGAAAAUAAAAUGUAUUGUUGUUGUCCAAUCAGAACAUGACACGUGAUAGUGAUACGUG
rfam:Glycine max cultivar Williams 82 chromosome 8, whole genome shotgun sequence.